GAGUUUUCUCCUGGCUCAGAUUGAACGCUGGCGGCAGGCCUAACACAUGCAAGUCGAACGGUAACAGAACUAGCUUGCUAGUUGCUGACGAGUGGCGGACGGGUGAGUAAUACUUAGGGAUCUGCCUCUGUGUGGGGGAUAACUAUUGGAAACGAUAGCUAAUACCGCAUAACGUCUACGGACCAAAGAGGGCUUCGGCUCUCGCGCAGAGAGGAACCUAAGCGAGAUUAGCUUGUUGGUGAGGUAAAGGCUCACCAAGGCGACGAUCUCUAGCUGUUCUGAGAGGAAGAUCAGCCACACUGGAACUGAGACACGGUCCAGACUCCUACGGGAGGCAGCAGUGGGGAAUAUUGCACAAUGGGCGGCAACCCUGAUGCAGCCAUGCCGCGUGUGAAGGUUAGUAGUUAAUACCUGCUAGCUGUGACGUUAACAACAGAAGAAGCACCGGCUAACUCCGUGCCAGCAGCCGCGGUAAUACGGAGGGUGCGAGCGUUAAUCGGAAUUACUGGGCGUAAAGCGCACGCAGGCGGUCUGUUAAGCUAGAUGUGAAAGCCCCGCGCUCAACGUGGGAGGGUCAUUUAGAACUGGCAGACUAGAGUCUUGGAGAGGGGAGUGGAGGAACAUCAAUGGCGAAGGCAACUCCCUGGCCAAGGACUGACGUCCAUGUGCGAAAGUGUGGUUAGCGAACAGAAUUAGAUACCCUGUAGGUUCACACCGUAAACGCUGUCUACUAGCUGUUUGUGGAUUUAAUCCGUGAGUAGCGAAGCUAACGCGAUAAGUAGACCGCCUGGGGAGUACGGCCGCAAGGUUAAAACUCAAAUGAAUUGACGGGGGCCCGCACAAGCGGUGGAGCAUGUGGUUUAAUUCGAUGCAACGCGAAGAACCUUACCUACUCUUGACAUACUAGAAACUUUUCAGAGAUGAAUUGGUGCCUUCGGGAAUCUAGAUACAGGUGCUGCAUGGCUGUCGUCAGCUCGUGUCGUGAGAUGUUGGGUUAAGUCCCGCAACGAGCGCAACCCUUGUCCUUAGUUACCAGCAUUAAGUUGGGUACUUUAAGGAGACCGCCGGUGACAAACCGGAGGAAGGUGGGGACGACGUCAAGUCAUCAUGGCCCUUACGAGUAGGGCUACACACGUGCUACAAUGGCGAGUACAAAGGGAUGCAAACUGGUGACAGUAAGCGGACCCCUUAAAGCUCGUCGUAGUCCGGAUUGGAGUCUGCAACUCGACUCCAUGAAGUCGGAAUCGCUAGUAAUCGUAGGUCAGCAUACUACGGUGAAUACGUUCCCGGGCCUUGUACGCACCGCCCGUCACACCAUGGGAGUGGGAUGCAAAAGAAGUAGGUAGCUUAACCUUCGGGAUGGCGCUUACCACUUUGUGUUUCAUGACUGGGGUGAAGUCGUAACAAGGUAGCCGU
rnacentral:rRNA from 1 species